rnacentral:rRNA from 1 species
UACGUAGGGUGCAAGCGUUAAUCGGAAUUACUGGGCGUAAAGCGUGCGCAGGCGGUUAUGUAAGACAGGUGUGAAAUCCCCGGGCUCAACCUGGGAACUGCAUCUGUGACUGCAUAGCUAGAGUACGGUAGAGGGGGAUGGAAUUCCGCGUGUAGCGGUGAAAUGCGUAGAUAUGCGGAGGAACACCGAUGGCGAAGGCAAUCCCCUGGACCUGUACUGACGCUCAUGCACGAAAGCGUGGGGAGCAAACAGG